rnacentral:rRNA from 1 species
AAAGAUUAAGCCAUGCAUGUCUAAGCACAUGCCUUAAUACGGUGAAGCCGCGAAUAGCUCAUUACAACAGCCACCGUUUACUAGAAUAUAGUUAUCCUACUUGGAUAACUGUGGCAAUUCUAGAGCUAAUACAUGCAAAAAAGCUCUGCCCGCAAGGAACGAGCGCAUUUACUAGAAUAAAAACCAAUCGGGUUUCGGCCCGUAAUUUGGUGAAUCUGAAUAACUUUGCCAAUCGCACAGUCUUAGUACUGGCGAUGUAUCUUUCAAGUGUCUGCCUUAUCAACUUUCGAUGGUAGGUUAUACGCCUACCAUGGUAGUAACGGGUAACGGAGAAUAAGGGUUCGACUCCGGAGAGGGAGCCUGAGAAACGGCUACCACAUCCAAGGAAGGCAGCAGGCGCGCAAAUUACCCACUUCCAGAACGGAGAGGUAGUGACGAAAAAUAACGAGACAGUCCUCUUCGAGGUCUGUCAUCGGAAUGGGUACAAUUUAAAUCCUUUAACGAGGAUCUAUUGGAGGGCAAGUCUGGUGCCAGCAGCCGCGGUAAUUCCAGCUCCAAUAGCGUAUAUUAAAGUUGUUGCGGUUAAAACGCUCGUAGUUGGAUCUGCGGCCUCGGAGAACGGUCCCCCGAAAGGGUGGUCACUGUCUCUCCUAGCCUAAAUUCGAGUCGUCUCUAGGUGCUCUUUACCGAGUGCUUAGAGUGACUAGAACGUUUACUUUGAAAAAAUUAGAGUGCUUAAAGCAGGCGAAAUAGCCUGAAUAAGGUGCAUGGAAUAAUGGAAUAGGACCUCGGUUCUAUUUUGUUGGUUUCCGGAACCCGAGGUAAUGAUUAAGAGGAACAGACGGGGGCAUUCGUAUUCCGGCGCUAGAGGUGGAAUUCUUGGACCGCCGGAAGACGGACGACUGCGAAAGCAUUUGCCAAGAAUG